rnacentral:rRNA from 1 species
AGUGAACGCUGGCGGUAGGCCUAACACAUGCAAGUCGAACGGCAGCACAGUAAGAGCUUGCUCUUACGGGUGGCGAGUGGCGGACGGGUGAGGAAUACAUCGGAAUCUACUUUUUCGUGGGGGAUAACGUAGGGAAACUUACGCUAAUACCGCAUACGACCUACGGGUGAAAGCAGGGGAUCUUCGGACCUUGCGCGAUUGAAUGAGCCGAUGUCGGAUUAGCUAGUUGGCGGGGUAAAGGCCCACCAAGGCGACGAUCCGCAGCUGGUCUGAGAGGAUGAUCAGCCACACUGGAACUGAGACACGGUCCAGACUCCUACGGGAGGCAGCAGUGGGGAAUAUUGGACAAUGGGCGCAAGCCUGAUCCAGCCAUACCGCGUGGGUGAAGAAGGUCUUCGGGUUGUAAAGCCCUUUUGUUGGGAAAGAAAAGCAGCAGGUUAAUACCCCGCUGUUCUGACGGUACCCAAAGAAUAAGCACCGGCUAACUUCGUG